rnacentral:rRNA from 1 species
GACGGAGGAGGCUAGCGUUGUUCUGAAUUACUGGGCGUAAAGCGCGCGCGGGCGGUUAUGCAAGUCAGGGGUGAAAGCCCGAGGCUCAACCUCGGAACGGCCUUUGCGACUGCAUGACUAGAGACCGGGAGAGGAGAGUGGAAUUCCCAGUGUAGAGGUGAAAUUCGUAGAUAUUGGGAAGAACACCAGUGGCGAAGGCGGCUCUCUGGCCCAUUCUUGACGCUGAGGCGCGAAAGCUAGGGUAGCAAACGGG